rnacentral:lncRNA from 1 species
AAGACUGCUCCUCAGAAGUUUCAUAUGAAGACUGAUUCUCAGAAGGUUCAUUUGUAGACUGCUCCUCAGAAGUUUCAUAUGAAGACUGCUCCUCAGAAGUUUCAUAUGAAGACUGAUCCACAGAAGUUUCAUAUGAAGACUGUUCCUCAAAAGUUUCUCCAGAUUGAUAAGUCUCAAAGAAGAAGUUGACCCCAUUCACAACAUCAUAAACCAUCAAUCCAACCCGUGCACCGACCCAAUUCCCCAAGUGACU